AGGGCCGUGUUCUCUUCAGGGCACCGUCUUGGAAACACAUCUGCUCCGGCUGUUUUGUUGUUGUAAACGCUGAUGCCAGGCCGCAGGGGCCAAGGGUCAGAUCCCAGAGCGGGCGGUUUGAUGGGCCAAGCUUCCGCCACACCCCUCCUCCGCCCCCUCGGAAAGUGGAGCAGGUUGGUGGACACAUGGGGACAGGUAAUUUUUUCAAGGCAAAUCAGUUAGGCAGGACAAAUUCCUGGUAAAAGAAGAAAAAGGAGGUUUGAGGUGUGAUGAUAAAGAAUAACGCCUACUUCUCACCGGGUGGUGAGGGGUUGAGGGUAAAGUGAGCCUCCCAAGUUCAAAGCCAUCAGGGAAUUGAUUAGACCAAUCGUGGGCAUCCAUGUAGUGGAAUACUAUGCAGCCACGGAAAAGAAUGGAGUGGACCAAUGUGGACCGAUACAGGAUGACAUCCAAGAGAUUUUACUAGAAAAGACCAGACUAUAGAAUGCCCCACUUCGAAAAGUGCCGUGGGGCCUCUUGGAACAGGUCCGGGCUGCAGAUUACAGUUCAAAACAUAAAAGGCUAUAGAAUGAAGACAGACGUGCCGAAGGCAGAACACUUGAAAAUGAGAAAGUGAGAUUCUUUUAUUUGUCGGGCUGGAAGAUCUCUUUCUCUAAACGCUGUACAAACAGACCCUCCUUCACCAGCUCCCUGGUGGGAACAGGAUGAAACAGAAAUGGGAAGUCCUUUGCAAGCAGGUAUGCUGAUGUAGCUGUGGAAUUUUAGGGUUAGGAAGACACCUCUCCUCUCCCGGCCAGGAAGCAUCUGGUUCAAUUUUUAUUUCAUAGAAAUAGAAACCAAAGCUCAGAAAGGUCAAAGGUCUUGUCCAAGGUCAUCAGCUUCACGCCUCUGGGGGAUUAACACAUCAAGGGCCACUGAUGACUCGAUGCAUCACCAGAUCUUGCAGGUAGGGUAGCCAGGGACCCUCAGUCAUCCAACCGCCAGGCAUUUCUGGACUGCCUACCGUGUCCCCACUGGGGGCCUGGAGCCAGUUCGGAGCUGGACGGUAAAUACUUCAGGCUUUUCCAACUGGAUGUUCUCUUUGUAACGCCCCCAGCCUGCAGCUGCGGUGGAAGUGCAGCCGGGACCCUCUGUAAGGACCUGGCUCCGGAGCCCCCCAGGAUUUGGCCGUGAGCCUGAGAACUUCAUAAGCUAACCGUGAGCUAAGAGCCUCAUUAUCAAAGCAACGUGUAGCCGGAAAUUCACAACAGCGGCCUGGAAGGUUGGUUCAGCUCCCGUCGCGGUUGUUCUAGGACUCAGGUUGUUCCUGAUACUGGAAAGAGGACCUGGCUUCAGUGGUAGCUACUUUUAUACGAGAUGUCAGGGAACAGCCAGCUCUUCCUCCCCGAUGAGUUCAGGAAUACAGGGGGAAGGUGGCUUCCACAGGACUUCUGCCCCCACCCAGGGGGAAAGGGGUCCCGGGCUGGAAGAUGGGAGAAUGCAGCGACCCCCUCACAAACUGGCAUCUGAGAGAGGAGAAGGGAAAGAAAGAGGAAGCAUCAACGGGCUGCCUCCCAAACCCUCCGCGACCCGGGACCACGCCCGCCGCCCAGACGCGUGCCCUGACCUGGAAUCCAUCCCGCAGACUUGGGUGUGCGGGUGAUGCUCCAACCGACCGAGCCACCUGGCCCCUCGGGUGGAGCGUAUUCAAAGGCAAGUGGCCUGUCCUCCUCACUGUUUUGAAGGGUGAUAUUCAACUUCUGUCGUCUUUUUGUUAAGAACCAUCUAGAUGUGCUUAUUUCAUCCUGCCUGCUGUCUACAGGACACAAGUGUGGACAAAUUCUGUUUAAAAAUGGUGGUUCCUACAGGUUAGGUUAAGAAAAGACAGUCACUGCAAAUAAGAAAGUGGUCACAGCGUUAAAAAUGUUCUCGCUGAGCCAGAAGGCUGCCUUUGCCCUCGGAGAUGAGCCGGUUUUAUUUAGGGCAGACAUUUCAGAAACGAAUGUAGGAGGGAAACCUACUCCUGUGUUUUAGGAGUCCAGAAAAAAAAUCUCGGCGAAGUGCCCUUCACUCGUGUGAAAGGUGCAGCCCUCGACACUCAUUCAAAACGCGAGCCCACCCCUCGCCAGGCGCAGGCGGGGCCCGCAGCCUCGGCGUUUCUCCGGUUGAGUGUUCGAUGCCGUUAUCGCGGCUCAGGGGCAAAUGCACACCAACAGCCGUGGAAUGAGGUGGCCGAUGAUG